AAGAGGUUAGUCCAAAAUUAAGACUUCUGAUUUCGGCUCAGACAAUUAUGGUUAAACUCCAUAACCUCUAU
rnacentral:tRNA from 1 species